UCCCUGGUGGUCCAGUGGUUAAAACUCUGCACUUCCAAUGCAGAGGUCCCAGGUUCGAUCCCUGGUCAGGCAA